UAGUCCACGCCGUAAACGAUGGAUACUAGGUGUCCGGGAAGUUAACCUCCUGGGUACUACAGCUAACGCGUUAAGUAUCCCGCCUGGGGAGUACGGUCGCAAGGCUAAAACUCAAAGGAAUUGACGGGGGCCCGCACAAGCGGUGGAGUAUGCGGUUUAAUUCGAAGCAACGCGCAGAACCUUACCUACCCUUAACAUUUCACGCUCGCCUCAGAGAUGAGGUUUUCUCUUCGGAGACGUGAGGAUAGGUGCUGCAUGGCUGUCGUCAGCUCGUGUCGUAAGAUGUCUGGUUAAGUCCAAUAACGAGCGCAACCCUUAUCCUUAGUUACCAGCAUUGAGUUGGGGACUCUAGGGGGACUGCCGGUGCAAACCGAGAGGAAGGUGGGGAUGACGUCAAAUCAUCACGGCCCUUACGUCCUGGGCUACACACGUGCUACAAUGGUAACGACAGAGGGCAGCCACCCCGCGAGGGGAGCGAAUCCUUAAACGUUAUCUCAGUUCGGAUCGGAGUCUGCAACUCGACU
rnacentral:rRNA from 1 species